rnacentral:rRNA from 1 species
GAGGAAUAUUGGUCAAUGGGCGCAAGCCUGAACCAGCCAUCCCGCGUGAAGGAAGAAGGCGCUAUGCGUUGUAAACUUCUUUUCCGGAGGAAUAAAAUCUUGUACGCGUACAGGACUGAAGGUACUCCGGGAAUAAGCAUCGGCUAACUCCGUGCCAGCAGCCGCGGUAAUACGGAGGAUGCAAGCGUUAUCCGGAUUUAUUGGGUUUAAAGGGUGCGUAGGCGGAUUAAUAAGUCAGCGGUGAAAACCUUCAGCUUAACUGGAGACUUGCCAUUGAUACUGUUAGUCUUGAGUAUGGUUAAGGUAGGCGGAAUGUGUAAUGUAGCGGUGAAAUGCUUAGAUAUUACACAGAACACCAAUUGCGAAGGCAGCUUACUGAGCCAUAACUGACGCUGAUGCACGAAAGCGUGGGGAGCGAAC